UGGGGAAUUUUGGACAAUGGGCGAAAGCCUGAUCCAGCCAUGCCGCGUGUGUGAAGAAGGUCUUCGGAUUGUAAAGCACUUUAAGUUGGGAGGAAGGGCCAUUACCUAAUACGUGAUGGUUUUGACGUUACCGACAGAAUAAGCACCGGCUAACUCUGUGCCAGCAGCCGCGGUAAUACAGAGGGUGCAAGCGUUAAUCGGAAUUACUGGGCGUAAAGCGCGCGUAGGUGGUUUGUUAAGUUGGAUGUGAAAUCCCCGGGCUCAACCUGGGAACUGCAUUCAAAACUGACUGACUAGAGUAUGGUAGAGGGUGGUGGAAUUUCCUGUGUAGCGGUGAAAUGCGUAGAUAUAGGAAGGAACACCAGUGGCGAAGGCGACCACCUGGACUGAUACUGACACUGAGGUGCGAAAGCGUGGGGAGCAAACAGGAUUAGAUACCCAAGUAGUCCCUGAGCGGGCUGGCAAGGCGCAU
rnacentral:rRNA from 1 species